UACAGAGGGUGCGAGCGUUCAUCGGAAUUACUGGGCGUAAAGCGUGCGUAGACGGUUAUUUAAGUCGGAUGUGAAAGCCCCGGGCUCAACCUGGGAAUUGCAUUCGAGACUGAAUAGCUAGGGUACGGUAGAGGGAAGUGGAAUUUCCGGUGUAGCGGUGAAAUGCGUAGAUAUCGGAAGGAACAUCAGUGGCGAAAGCGACUUCCUGGACCAGUACCGACGUUCAGGCACGAAAGCGUGGGGAGCAAACAGG
rnacentral:rRNA from 1 species